GGUGUUAGGAAACAAAGUAGAAUAGGUCUGAAUGGGAAAGGACGCUGCCGCCUCGUGCUCCCCGCCGCGGGAGCAGCGGUGGGUGGCGGAGGGGAAGGAAGACUCUGGGUGGAACGGCGACCGGGAGGGGGAGGAGAAGAGGGUGGAACGUCGAGGCCUCCGACGGCCUAGGCGCCAUAGGGGAUGGGUGGGUAGGGAGAGGACAGGGUAGAGAGUGAGAAGUGCGCCGAGGAGCACCGAGGUGGAUGCCGCCUACUAAGUCCGCUGCAGGCCGCUUAGGGCGGUAGCGCUUCGUGUCGGGCUCGAGGGUAGCGUGGCGCCGUGGGAGGGUAGGCCGAUAUAGGUCGUGAGUUCCGGUGGUUUCGAGUGGGCGCUGGGAGGGGGGUACAGAUCCCAAAGCCCGUAGAACAGGAGUGGGUACCGGUACGGCAGGAGGAGAGCAGGCUACACGUCCCUCCUUGCUGGUCACCUGUGGAACAACGAUGAGCCCCUGCUUCGCCGGUACCUCUAAGGAGGAGGAGACGAGGGUUCAGGAAUUAGGCGGCGUUAAUUCUAACCGUGAAGGAUGCAGGGAGGAAGUCAACGAAUCAGUGAUCUGUGUGCGUCGAUCCAAAAGAAACCAAGUAACUAUACCAAGUAGAAGUAGCACUACCUACACGGGAGUGUUGGUUUUCCUAGUUGUAUGGACGUACCUCUAAUAAAUUAUUGGAUCCAUUCCUAUUUUGAUAUUUUGAUUUAUCCUGUGUGGAUGUCAUUCUCUGGUUAUGUUGCCGAGUUCAGACUUGAUUAAUUCACCGCCGAUUACUCACUUUCUUGAGAAACAAAAAUGAGAAAAUAAAAGAACCACAUAGGUGUCUAACGUGGCAAAAAGACAUACUCUCCGUGAUAAUCUCGGUGGUAUUAUUAAGAUCUUCUCUCAAAAUUUCUUGGUAUACUACACAAUCGGUUAGUUUACAUCCCACAAUGUAACAUCUAACCAAGCUCUCUCUCAACCAAGCCAUGAUAUCCGAACACGCACUGUUGUCUUUAUAUAAUUAGGUUCACCUGUAACAAAAGGAGGUCUUUGCUCCAUCUAGGUAGACCCUACACUGUUGCUUCACGACUCGUUUCUUCACCGAACCACCCCUACCGUACGAAUUAAACUAGAUGAAAUUUAAUAGUACGCGGAAGAAAGGAAAAUGAAUAAUCAAGAGAGGGAUUUCGAUCUUUCUGUGGCACUGUACGUUUAAACUGGGAUAGUUGGAGUUCUUAAUAGAAAAGGAAGAUUUACAGGGUCGCCUUCUAUUCUAAACCGAAGUGACUACAUUUAUUAAGAUUCUCCAAACGUAGGAAGGAAAAAUGAAUACAUGUAAUAACUACUAUCACGAUGGAUACGUGUAUAAAUCCAACGUCGGUAUAAGUAACAUUCGUCUUCAAAAAAAACUUCUCGAUAGAAAACUCGUGUACGAGUCCAAGCGAACUAUAGAUUCAUUCCUAUUUUGACUACCAAUCAUGGACUAUACAGAAGAGAUUUUUUCAAGUUCAUAAACUAUGAAUUGAAUGUGCAACUUUAAAUUGUUCGUACCCUCUUAGACUGACAGUGUAAACAUCUAAGAGUCAAAAAUCGAAUUCUAGUUCUAAGGUAUUCCGAUUAACUGGUCAAUUUAACAUAAGUCAAAACCACACCUUUGAGUAACUGUUUUUACACAUAAAAUAUGAAAAUCAAGGUUCACAGUUAUGAUCUUUCUCUUGUAACUCGAACUAGAAGUUAGUGUUACUCAUUGACCUCGUAGUGCGAGAAAUUUGACUUUGGAUGUAACCAUUAGUAUAUACAAGAUGACGUAGUAAACAAAUCUACAGUAUGAAAUUCAAUUGUUGGGGGCAAGAAACACGAUGUGGGUCGAUAUUUAGGAACGGUAGACUAAAGUAUUUUAAGAUAACGUGGUAUAUUACUUCGUGUAUAAAAGUUUUUCGAUAUCCAGACAAGGUUUCGCACUACUCGUCUGGUGGACAUCCAGACAGACAAAGGACGACCUACUGACUUUGGUUGAUCUCAAUUUACAAAACCAAAUCAAAGUCUACUGAUUUUUUGAUCAAACCAAGUCAAACGAUUGGUCGUCCUCUUGUCUUCUCUUCACCAUGACAGUGAGUGUAACGACCGUUCCAGCAAACACUCCGCCACGGCGCACCCUCUCCUUCAGUAUCCCCCAGCGAUCUAGAGUAUCCCUUCUAGUCCCCUCUCUCCUCGAUGGUGCGUAGGCACGGUUUAGACUGUCUGCCGGUACGAAAACACGAUCCAGACCCACGGUGCCAACUCCAAGAUACCUCCUCGUACACUGUGUGUUUCGUGCUCAUCUACCUCACCUCCACAUCCCUCGUGGUUCUCCAUCGAAGCAGGAAUGGUGCCCUCGACCAACCUCUUUUCUUUCCCACCGCGACCCACCACUUUAUUGUGCUCCUUCUUUCUCCUCGAGGGCCACCCUAACCCCUAAACCAUGACAACAACAACAUCUAUAACAUGAAACCGUAGGUGAUCUUCAACGAUAUGUACGUGAGCGUAACUAAAAAAAAAGUUUCUGUUGUACGGAUGAAAACUUAAGGUGGUUUUUGUAGCAGCCGCUACAUUAUAAAAUUUACAAUUACAGGUCGUUGAUCCACACGUUCGCCUGCCGCAGGCGUACAGGUGCUGGCACGUACUUCAUUUUUAAAGUGAUUGUGUUAAGAAUUUCGUCGUACGGGUGUGGACAGGUACUUCGUUUAUAAAUUCGAUUAGAAAUCAAUGAUAUUACUACCACAUAAAAAAAAACACCUUCCAACACCUGUACUUUUGCGGCUGUACCAGGUGCACGUAGGGAUGAUCGUUGGAAUAAUGCUUAUGUAAUCAUUAAUAUGACAUAAGAAUUAUAUAUACACUC
rnacentral:rRNA from 1 species